AACGAACGCUGGCGGCAGGCUUAACACAUGCAAGUCGAGCGCCCCGCAAGGGGAGCGGCAGACGGGUGAGUAACGCGUGGGAACGUACCUUUUGGUUCGGAACAACUCCGGGAAACUGGAGCUAAUACCGGAUAAGCCCUAACGGGGAAAGAUUUAUCGCCGAAAGAUCGGCCCGCGUCCGAUUAGCUAGUUGGUGAGGUAACGGCUCACCAAGGCGACGAUCAGUAGCUGGUCUGAGAGGAUGAUCAGCCACACUGGGACUGAGACACGGCCCAGACUCCUACGGGAGGCAGCAGUGGGGAAUAUUGGACAAUGGGCGCAAGCCUGAUCCAGCCAUGCCGCGUGAGUGAUGAAGGCCUUAGGGUUGUAAAGCUCUUUUGUCCGGGAAGAUAAUGACUGUACCGGAAGAAUAAGCCCCGGCUAACUUCGUG
rnacentral:rRNA from 1 species